rnacentral:rRNA from 1 species
UACGGAGGGGGCUAGCGUUGUUCGGAAUUACUGGGCGUAAAGCGCACGUAGGCGGCUUUGUAAGUUAGAGGUGAAAGCCCAGGGCUUAACUCUGGAAUUGCCUUUAAGACUGCAUCGCUAGAAUCGUGGAGAGGUGAGUGGAAUUCCGAGUGUAGAGGUGAAAUUCGUAGAUAUUCGGAAGAACACCAGUGGCGAAGGCGACUCACUGGACACGUAUUGACGUUGAGGUGCGAAAGCGUGGGGAGCAAACAGG